rfam:Candida albicans SC5314 chromosome R sequence.
UAAUAUGAUGAAUAUGUGUUACCACACUUUUCUGUCCGGUGAAUAAAAUAUGAUCCAUGGAUACUUUACAUGCAUCACCAUCUGAUU